rnacentral:snoRNA from 1 species
UCCUUGUUAUUGCAGCCCCUAGAAGUUUUAAAAUAAGUUUUGCAUCUUCCGGAGGAAGCCGAGGCCUGACUGCCUCAGUCCCUGCAAUUUAUGUGCAAUUUUCCUCCAUCAGCUCUCGGGCACUGUUGCCAUGGUGACCGCCGCUGGGCUGGCUCCUUAUCUGUCAGUAAGAGAAGCCAUGCAGUGGGGGUAUUAUUUAUUAUAUACACAUACAUAUAUAUAGGGUUGUAUAAAAUACUACCUGG